rnacentral:lncRNA from 1 species
UAUUUAUCUAUUUCUUUGUAUCUAUUUGUGUAUUUGUUUAUCUUAUUCAAUCAUCCAUCAAAGAUUGCUUUGGUACUUUAUAUGUGCUUAAUUCGAUUAGUUGGGGAUUUGGAUUUUUCUUUUUUAAUUUAAAUUAGAGAGAGACGGAGAGGGUAGGAUGAAUUGGUGAUAAGGUGAAAUCAACAAUUGAACCUGCCAACAUUAUGUCCUUUUUUUCCAAUUUCUUUUUCAUCCAUGCAUGCGUGCACCGUUUCAUGAUUGGAUUGUUUUACUGUUGAGUUUGUGGAUAUGAUCUUAGCUUCUGUUA